rnacentral:rRNA from 1 species
UACGUAGGGUGCGAGCGUUUAAUCGGAAUUACUGGGCGUAAAGCGUGCGCAGGCGGUUCGUUGUGUCUGAUGUGAAAGCCCCGGGCUCAACCUGGGAAUGGCAUUGGAAACUGGCGAGCUAGAGUGUGGCAGAGGGGGGUGGAAUUCCGCGUGUAGCAGUGAAAUGCGUAGAGAUGCGGAGGAACACCGAUGGCGAAGGCAGCCCCCUGGGCUGACACUGACGCUCAGGCACGAAAGCGUGGGGAGCAAACAGG